rnacentral:tRNA from 1 species
CGGAGCGUGGCGCAGCCUGGUAGCGCACUUGCAUGGGGUGCAAGGGGUCCCGAGUUCGAAUCUCGGCGCUCCGA